rnacentral:rRNA from 1 species
CCUACGGGAGGCAGCAGUGAGGAAUAUUGGUCAAUGGGCGAAAGCCUGAACCAGCCAUGUCGCGUGCAGGAUUACGGCCCUAUGGGUUUUAAACUGCUUUUAUACGAGGAUAAAAUGUACUACGUGUAGUAUAUUGCAGGUAUCGUAUGAAUAAGGAUCGGCUAACUCCGUGCCAGCAGCCGCGGUAAU